rnacentral:rRNA from 1 species
GACCCGGGGCGUUAACCUCGGAAUUGCAUUUGAAACUGGCAGGCUAGAGUCUUGUAGAGGGGGGUAGGGAAGUUUCUAGGUGUAGCGGUGAAAUGCGUAGAGAUCUGAAGGAAUACCAGUGGCGAAGGCGGCCCCCUCGGACAAAGACUGACGCUCAGAUGCGAAAGCGUGGGGAGCAAACAGGAUUAGAUACCCCUGGUAG